AGAGUUUGAUCAUGGCUCAGAACGAACGCUGGCGGCGUGCUUAACACAUGCAAGUCGAGUGCGCGUGCCGUAGCAAUACGGUAUGGCGCACGGCGCACGGGUGCGUAACACGUGGGCAAUCUGCCCUCCGAUGGGGAAUAACUCCGGGAAACCGAAGCUAAUUCCGCAUAAUAUUCCCUGGACUCCGGUUCGGGGAUUCAAAGCAGCAAUGCGUCGGAGGAGGAGCCCGCGCCCGAUUAGCUAGUUGGUGAGGUAACGGCUCACCAAGGCUAUGAUCGGUAGCUGGUCUGAGAGGAUGGCCAGCCACACUGGAACUGAGACACGGUCCAGACUCCUACGGGAGGCAGCAGUGGGGAAUCUUGCGCAAUGGGCGAAAGCCUGACGCAGCGACGCCGCGUGGGGGAUGAAGCUUCUCGGAGUGUAAACCCCUUUCGACCGGGACGAAUGCCCGCAAGGGAGUGACGGUACCGGUAGAAGAAGCCCCGGCUAACUACGUGCCAGCAGCCGCGGUAAGACGUAGGGGGCCAGCGUUGUUCGGAAUUACUGGGUGUAAAGGGUUCGUAGGCGGUGUGGCAAGUCGGGAGUGAAAUUUCUGGGCUUAACUCAGAACCUGCUUCCGAAACUGCUGUGCUGGAGUGUGGGAGAGGCGCGUGGAAUUGCAGGUGUAGCGGUGAAAUGCGUAGAUAUCUGCAGGAACACCCGUGGCGAAAGCGGCGCGCUGGACCACUACUGACGCUGAGGAACGAAAGCUAGGGGAGCAAACAGGAUUAGAUACCCUAGUAGUCC
rnacentral:rRNA from 1 species